rnacentral:rRNA from 1 species
UUUUAACUCUUUACAUAAUAUUAAAUAUACUUUACAGAUUUAAAAUUUAUUCAAAUAAGGUACAGCCUAUUUGAAACAGGAUACAACCUAUCACAGAGGGUAAUGCCAAUACAAACGUGAACAAGUAGGCCUAAAAGCAGCCAUCUUUUAAAAAGCGUUAAAGCCUUAUCACAUUUAAUUAUAAAUGCCAACCAAAACUCAAAACCCCUAAACCCUACUGAAUGACUUCAUACUUAUAUGAAAAUCCUCAUGUUAGAACCAGUAACAAGAAUAAUUAUUCUCCUAUAAAUGUAAGUGUAAGUCGAAAUGGAUCCCCCAUCGACACUCACCGCCAAUGAACCUACAGUAAUAACUCUCUCAAGAAAACUUUACUUUUCUCCUACGUUAACCUUACACAAGAACUUUUCUGGAAAGAUUUAAAAAAGAGGAAG